CGCGGCCUAUCAGCUUGUUGGUGAGGUAAUGGCUCACCAAGGCGACGACGGGUAGCCGGCCUGAGAGGGUGACCGGCCACACUGGGACUGAGACACGGCCCAGACUCCUACGGGAGGCAGCAGUGGGGAAUAUUGCACAAUGGGCGCAAGCCUGAUGCAGCGACGCCGCGUGAGGGAUGACGGCCUUCGGGUUGUAAACCUCUUUCAGUAGGGAAGAAGCGAAAGUGACGGUACCUGCAGAAGAAGCGCCGGCUAACUACGUGCCAGCAGCCGCGGUAAUACGUAGGGCGCAAGCGUUAUCCGGAAUUAUUGGGCGUAAAGAGCUCGUAGGCGGUUUGUCGCGUCUGCCGUGAAAGUCCGGGGCUCAACUCCGGACCUGCGGUGGGUACGGGCAGACUAGAGUGUGGUAGGGGAGACUGGGAUUCCUGGUGUAGCGGUGAAAUGCGCAGAUAUCAGGAGGAACACCGGUGGCGAAGGCGGUUCUCUGGGCAUUACCUGACGCUGAGGAGCGAAAGUGUGGGGAGCGAACAGGAUUAGAUACCCUGGUAGUCCACACCGUAAACGUUGGGCACUAGGUGUGGGGGACAUUCCACGUUUUCCGCGCCGUAGCUAACGCAUUAAGCACCCCGCCUGGGGAGUACGG
rnacentral:rRNA from 1 species